rnacentral:lncRNA from 1 species
GGAGCAGUAGGUGGGCUGAAGCAAGGAAGUACUAGCACCACGUUAGUUACAAAAGCAAGCUUAAUAAUCGUUCAACGGUGGUACUGUGAUGAUCUUAGCCUAGACCCUGCUAGAUGCACGAGCCUGGACACAAUGGAAGUCACAACAAAUGUGGCGGAACCGCCCAACUUAAACUGGUUUAAAUGCGCCUAAUCGCUGUCGAUACAACAAUUAUCCGAAACGCACUUAAAACAGUAUAAGUCC